AUUGAACGCUGGCGGCAGGCCUAACACAUGCAAGUCGAACGAGUGGCGGACGGGUGAGUAAUGUCUGGGAAACCGCCUGAUGGAGGGGGAACACCACUGGAAACGGUCGCUAAUACCGUAUACCAUCGUAUGCGCCUAUAUGGGAUUAGCUUGUAGGUGGGGUAAAGGCUCACCUAGGCGACGAUCCCUAGCUGGUCUGAGAGGAUGACCAGCAACACUGGAACUGAGACACGGUCCAGACUCCUACGGGAGGCAGCAGUGGGGAAUAUUGCACAAUGGGCGCAAGCCUGAUGCAGCCAUGCCGCGUGUAUGAAGAAGGCCUUAGGGUUGUAAAGUACUUUCAGCGGGGAGGCGUUACCCGCAGAAGAAGCACCGGCUAACUCCGUGCCAGCCGCCGCGGUAAUUC
rnacentral:rRNA from 1 species